AAAAAGCUCCGUGCGCCCACGCAUCUCGCACUCGGGCGCCGACGCGGGACCGAGCCAGGGUACCCGCGUCCUUACAAAUGUGACCUGCAGCGGUGUGGCACAGGGUGCUGCCAGCGGCUGCAGGCCACCGCGCCCGGUGUGGCGGCCGCCGGCGUCUGCGGACGCCGACCGGCCGCGGGGCUGGCGGCGCGGCUGACUCGGCUCCACGAGAGCCGACACCAGCGGGAGCGCCUUAGUUUUAGUUUCUUUUUUUAGAUUAAGGUACGAGAAUAGCUAUAGAAAUGGGAUUACGCUAUGGCAUGACAAAGUUGUAGCAACUAUUUACUGACAUGAAGAAAAACAAGUUGGGCGGCGUCCGACGGCAUUUGAAUAAUUCCAAUAAUAAUUAAUGUCUGGUACAUUAUUAACAGAAUCGUGUAAUUCGUUCACCAGCACUGUCGACCAGUGCAGAUAAGUUUGCUUCUCCGUUCAAUUAAUCAAUUCCAAAGUCCUGGGAAAAAUGAUAGUCUAAGCGAUAAUAAUUUAAGCUAUUACUUCCUAACCUAGGUUAAGGUUAACACUGCAAUAUAAGUUUUUGUUUUUGUUAACAUUCACAA